GUGGUGGCACACGACUGGCGAAGGUGGGCGACCACCGGGGAGUGACGGUUGUGGGCAUCGACCGCCUGGGUGCCCGCU
rnacentral:ncRNA from 2 species